rnacentral:tRNA from 1 species
GCGCGGUUAGCUCAGCUGGAUAGAGCACCAGACUACGAAUCUGGCGGUCAGGCGUUCGAAUCGCUUACCGCGCG